rnacentral:rRNA from 1 species
CAANGUAUGCUUUGGAAACUGUUAGACUUGAGUGCAGAAGGGGAGAGUGGAAUUCCAUGUGUAGCGGUGAAAUGCGUAGAUAUAUGGAGGAACACCGGUGGCGAAAGCGGCUCUCUGGUCUGUCACUGACGCUGAGGCUCGAAAGCGUGGGUAGCGAACAGGAUUAGAUACCCUGGUAGUCCACGCCGUAAACGCUGAGUGCUAGGUGUUAGGUCCUUUCCGGGACUUAGUGCCGACGCUAACGCAUUAAGCACUCCGCCUGGGGAGUACGACCGCAAGGUUGAAACUCAAAGGAAUUGACGGGGGCCCGCACAAGCGGUGGAGCAUGUGGUUUAAUUCGAAGCAACGCGAAGAACCUUACCAGGUCUUGACAUCCCGAUGCCCGCUCUAGAGAUAGAGUUUUUCUUCGGAACAUCGGAGACAGGUGGUGCAUGGUUGUCGUCAGCUCGUGUCGUGAGAUGUUGGGUUAAGUCCCGCAACGAGCGCAACCCUUAUUGUUAGUUGCCAUCAUUAAGUUGGGCACUCUAGCGAGACUGCCGGUAAUAAACCGGAGGAAGGUGGGGAUGACGUCAAAUCAUCAUGCCCCUUAUGACCUGGGCUACACACGUGCUACAAUGGUUGGUACAACGAGUCGCAAGCCGGUGACGGCAAGCUAAUCUCUGAAAGCCAAUCUCAGUUCGGAUUGUAGGCUGCAACUCGCCUACAUGAAGUCGGAAUCGC